ACUCCUACGGGAGGCAGCAGUGGGGGAAUCUUUAGACAAUGGGGGCGAACCCUGAUCUAGCCAUGCCGCGUGAGUGAUGAAGGCCUUAAGGGUUUGUAAAAGCUCUUUUCAGCUGGGAAGAUAAUGACGGUACCGAGCAGAAGAAGCCCCGGCUAACUCCGUGCCAGCAGCCGCGGUAAUACGAGGGGGCUAGCGUUGUUCGGAAUUACUGGGCGUAAAGCGCACGUAGGCGGACUGGAAAGUUGGGGGUGAAAUCCCGGGGGCUCAACCUCGGAACUGCCUCCAAAACUAUCAGUCUGGAGUUCGAGAGAGGUGAGUGGAAUACCGAGUGUAGAGGUGAAAUUCGUAAGAUAUUCGGUGGAACACCGAGUGGACGAAGGCGGCUACCGUGGUCUGCAACUGACGCUGAGACUCGAAAGCAUGGGUAGCGAACAGGAUU
rnacentral:rRNA from 1 species